GAGGGUUUACCUCUGCAGUAGAGUGCAUGCCUAGCAGGCAUGAGGUCCUGGGUUCAAUCUCCAGUACUUCCA
rnacentral:tRNA from 1 species